CAACCCCUGCCUAUCGUUCGUGGCGCACUUUAUAGCAUAAACGGAAUAGAGUUCUGGAAUCGAAUAGUUCUCAAACCAAAUAUUUCAAGAUACAGCUUCAAUAUGGGCUGGCGACUGAAUGUCUCACUCUCUUAAUCUUAAUAAGUUCAACGACAGCAAGAAUAAGAUACCGCAAACCUCUCGUUCACUACCCAAAAGACACAUAUUAUUGGGCCACCGAUUUCUUUGUGACAGGAUGCAAGAAUUUCAUAGAGAAAUGUCCAACUGUUUACAAGGUGCAAUUGAUCUGCGCUCGCAACUACAAUGGUGAUUUCAAAGAAUUCCAAAACUAUUGCGAGAUGGAGUACGAGAACUGCAAUACGUGGCGAAAUUGGCACGUGUUCAAGCGAGAAAGAUGCUGAAAUACACCUUUUUAAAAAUUAUGAAUGUGUUUAAAAUAACUUACCUUAUUAUUACACACGUCACUUUUUUUUCGUGUAAGCUAUACACCUAUCCAUAACAGUAACAGUGCCACUCAGAGGAAAGAAUAAAGGACGAAAGAUUUGU